GUCUACGGCCAUACCACACUUAACGCGACCGAUCUCGUCUGAUCUUGAAAACGAAGCAGGGUCAGGACUGGUUAUUACGUGGAUGGGACACCGCCUGGAAAUACCAGGUGCUGUAGGCU
rnacentral:rRNA from 1 species